AUGACCUUCAUCAUCAUCUUCAUCUGGACUCUCACAGCGUUUGCUCAAGAGUGUAGAGGACAGAUCACCGUCACUCAGAGUCCCUCAAUGACAGCAGCUCAACCAGGACAAACUGUGAACAUCAACUGUAAAACCAGCAGAGAUGUGUAUUAUUAUAGUUCUUAUGGACAUUAUUUAGCCUGGUACUUACAGAAACCUGGAGAAGCUCCUAAACUCCUGAUUUAUUGGACCAACCGCCGUCAGUCAGGAACUCCAUCUAGAUUCAGUGGCAGUGGAUCUAACAGUGAUUUCACUCUGACCAUCAGUGGAGUCCAGACUGAAGAUGCUGGACAUUAUUACUGUCAGAGUUAUCACUGGAUCAACAGUAACGAUGUGUUCACACAGUGAUAAAGAGUCGAACAAAAACCUCCGUCAGUCAGAGUCACAGUGACUGAACUGAUACUGCAGCUGCUCACACACUUUCACACACUUUCACACACUUUCACACACACUCAACAGCAGAAACACAAAUAUGAUCUUAAUAUCAGCUUUGUUGAGCUUCAUCAGUAUUUCUUCAGAUAAUUAGAAAUUCUUUUGAUGUUAUCAUGAUUUUUAGAUCAUUUAUGGUUUAUUUAUCCUCAUUUCCACUCACUCAAUAUUUUAAAGUCAUUGAUAUUUUUGAUCAUGUACUUUUAUUAUUUUUUCUUCCUAAUCUUAGUUAUACAGUAAAGAUCUGAGGAACUGAAGCUGUCGAUCACACAGCGAGAGUUUAUCUGGACACUUCCCAAAACUCCUGUUAUAAUCAGUGACGCUCUUACACUACACAAUCAAUCUCUGACUGGAUUUACAUCGUGUUUGCAUUGUUAGUUAUGGUGAAAGCAUUUCUGGAGUGCAGAAAUUUAGUUGUAAUGACGAGAUCACUGCAUUCACACCAUCAACAGACUGUCUGUCAUCUGCUCAGUUUCUCAUCACUGCAACCUUCCCUGUGAUGAACAGAUCUAAAUAUAAGGCAAUAAUCAACACUUUUCACCAUUCGUUCAUUUAGACAG